rnacentral:misc_RNA from 1 species
GAUGAAGAACGCAGCGAAAUGCGAUAAGUAGUGUGAAUUGCAGAAUUCAGUGAAUCAUCGAAUCUUUGAACGCACAUUGCGCCCCUUGGUAUCCCGAGGGGCAUGCCUGUUCGAGCGUCAUUUCACCACUCAAGCCUGGCUUGGUGUUGGGCGACGUCCUCUUUGGGGACGCGCCUCGAAACGCUCGGCGGCGUGGCACCGGCUUUAAGCGUAGCAGAAUCUUUCGCUUUGGAAGUCGGGGCCCCGUCUGCCGGAAGACCUGCUCGCAAGGUUGACCUCGGAUCAGGCAGGGAUACCCGCUGAACUUAAGCAUAUCAUAAGGGAGGA